GAUGAACGCUGGCGGCGUGCUUAACACAUGCAAGUCGAACGAAGACAUCUGAGUGCUUGCACUUGGAUGGACUGAGUGGCGGACGGGUGAGUAACGCGUGGGUAACCUGCCUUAUACAGGGGGAUAACAGUUGGAAACGACUGCUAAUACCGCAUAAGCGCACGGUAUCGCAUGAUACAGUGUGAAAAACUCCGAUGGUAUAAGAUGGACCCGCGUCUGAUUAGCUAGUUGGUGAGGUAACGGCCCACCAAGGCGACGAUCAGUAGCCGGCCUGAGAGGGUGAACGGCCACAUUGGGACUGAGACACGGCCCAAACUCCUACGGGAGGCAGCAGUGGGAAUAUUGCACAAUGGGGGAAACCCUGAUG
rnacentral:rRNA from 1 species